rnacentral:rRNA from 1 species
CGCGCAGAACCUUACCUAGGCUUGACACCCCGGGAAUUUGCUGGAAACAGUGAAGUGCUUUCAUUAGAAAGAGCCCGGUGACAGGUGCUGCAUGGCUGUCGUCAGCUCGUGUCGUGAGAUGUUGGGUUAAGUCCCGCAACGAGCGCAACCCUCGCCUUUAGUUGCCAGCAUUCAGUUGGGCACUCUAAAGGGACUGCCGGUGUCAAACCGGAGGAAGGUGGGAUGACGUCAAGUCCUCAUGGCCUUUAUGUCCAGGGCUACACACGUACUACAAUGGCAGGUACAAAGGGCAGCGACACAGCGAUGUGAUGCGAAUCCCGAAAAGCCUGUCUCAGUCCGGAUCGGAGUCUGCAACUCGACUCCGUGAAGUUGGAAUCGCUAGUAAUCGUGGAUCAGCAUGCCACGGUGAAUACGUUCCCGGGCCUU